rnacentral:rRNA from 1 species
CCUACGGGAGGCAGCAGUGAGGAAUAUUGGUCAAUGGGCGGGAGCCUGAACCAGCCAAGCCGCGUGAAGGAAGAAGGCGCCAGGCGUCGUAAACUUCUUUUGUCGGGGAACAAAGGGCGCCACGUGUGGCGUUGUGAGUGUACCCGAAGAAAAAGCAUCGGCUAACUCCGUGCCAGCAGCCGCGGUAAUACGGAGGAUGCGAGCGUUAUCCGGAUUUAUUGGGUUUAAAGGGUGCGUAGGCGGUCCGGAAAGUCAGCGGUAAAAGCCCGGGGCUCAACCCCGGCGAGCCGUUGAAACUGUCGGACUAGAGACGGCGAGAAGUACGCGGAAUGCGCGGUGUAGCGGUGAAAUGCAUAGAUAUCGCGCAGAACUCCGAUUGCGAAGGCGGCCGCCUGGCCUGUUACUGACGCUGAGGCACGAAAGCGUGGGGAGCAAAUAGGAUUAGAUACCCUAGUAGUC